ensembl:lncRNA
CUGGGCUCCUGUGCCGUAACGUUUCCUUGUGCAGGUUCUGUAUGUUUGAACAGCUAUUUGUGGAUAUGCUCCUUUCCAAACUGUCAAGAGGGAGAAGCAAAGGAAUCACUUUUCAACCUCUGAUCUCCCAAGUAUUCUUAAUGGGCAUGUAUCCAGACAUUUUCAUUAAUGUCCAGGGUGUUCUGGAUGCAGCUGACCUGCAAAUGAUUUACACAAAUGUGUUUUGUGUGUGUGAAGUAAACCCAAGGAACCUGAUACAUAUCAGAUUUACUGCAGUACCAUGUCUCAGUAUGGAUGUAAAAGGAGCAGUGUUUUGGGUGUAUCUAAACCCAUCAGAAAUGC